UACGGAGGGUGCAAGCGUUAUCCGGAUUUACUGGGUUUAAAGGGUGUGUAGGCGGGCUUUUAAGUCAGUGGUGAAAUCUCCGGGCUCAACCUGGAAACUGCCAUUGAUACUAUUAGUCUUGAAUAUUGUUGAGGUAGGCGGAAUAAGUCAUGUAGCGGUGAAAUGCAUAGAUAUGACUUAGAACACCAAUUGCGAAGGCAGCUUGCUAAACAAUGAUUGACGCUGAGGCACGGAAAAGCGUGGGGGAUCAAACCAGGAUUAGAAA
rnacentral:rRNA from 1 species